UAUACUUUAUUAGUGCCUGCUUGGAUUCAUCAUAUGUGGCCAACUGAGAUGCAGUCAAAGUGGCAGCUCUAGCCAUAGCAGGCCCAACUCCCUUCCAAAGAGCUCUUACUCCUUCUUCUGAAGCAAUUCUCCUCAUUUCAUGGAUUGGUCCUAAGCUUGAUCUUGUGUUCAUUUGCAUCCGUACCUGGAAACCAGCAUAACAAAUGAGGAUUGUUCAGGAGAAACCAUAAAGCCUAAAAAAAAGAGAGUACCUUCAAGACUUCCACAGGAUUGGUCAGUGCUGUGGCAACGGCCCCUGAGAAUGCUCCAGAUGCAAUCUUCACCAAGAUAUUGGUGGACUCAAAAGCCAAUUCACAGAGAUAUUUUGAUGGUUCGUAUAAUCCUAAACGGAGACCACCAUAAAGAACUGACCUCAAGUGAGAUGCAGUCAAGGUGGCAGCUCUAGCCAUAGCAGGCCCAACUCCCUUCCAAAGAGCUCUUACUCCUUCUUCUGAAGCAAUUCUCCUCAUUUCAUGGAUUGGUCCUAAGCUUGAUCUUGUGUUCAUUUGCAUCCGUACCUGGAAACCAGCAUAACAAAUGAGG
rnacentral:lncRNA from 1 species